GCCCGGCCCCGCCCUCCUCUGGCUGCACCUGGGAGAGCGGGAAAGUGGCGACUGCCACGGUGGCCUGCAGUCCAGCACGCGCUGGCCCUGAGCGCCACGAGCUGCCUCACCCACCGGAAACGUGACGCUUAAAUCCCCCCAAAGAGGGUAAGACUGCACUGAAGGCCAGGGCAGGAGGCAGCUGCAGGUCUGCACAUGUGGCUGUUCGUCCACGUGUAUUCGGGAGCGCGCAUCGCGUGCCCACGUGCAGGGUGAGGCCUUCCCCCGCGCCCCCCGGCGGCCUCCGCUGCACCUGGAGAUUCGCCGAGGGCCUCCGCACAGCCCCAGGUGGGCCCUGCCAAGAGCUGCUCUCUGCCCGGGGAACACCACGGAGAACAGCUGCAAAAAUCCACUUCCCACAUACAUCACCGCUGAAAGGAAUCAAGCAAGAAAACAUGGCAGCAGAAGUCAGAGAUUUCCUCAGAAGUCCAUUUAGUGAGCCAGUGUGA
rnacentral:lncRNA from 1 species